rnacentral:rRNA from 1 species
UACAGAGGGUGCGAGCGUUGUUCGGAAUUAUGGGGCGUAAAGGGCGCGUAGGCGGUGCGGUAAGUCACCUGUGAAAUCUCCUGGCUCAACUGGGAGCUUGCAGGCGAAACUGCCGUGCUGGAGUGUGGGAGAGGUGCGUGGAAUUCCCGGUGUAGAGGUGAAAUUCGUAGAUAUCGGGAGGAACACCAGUGGCGAAGGCGGAGACCUGGGCCAAUACUGACGCUGAGGUGCGGAAGCGUGGGGAGCAAACAGG